rnacentral:lncRNA from 1 species
AAAGAUUCUCCAUGUUUGUUUCAUCAGUCUCUCUCUCCCUCUCUUGAACACCGCAAAGACAUUCCUAAAACGACGUCGCAAAACCACCAUGUUGGCUUCGGUGUCGAGCUGCUUAACACCAACUGUUCUCUUCUGCAUCUUGAACCUCACCAUAGUUACCAUUUUCAUAUCUUCAACCCUAAAAAAGCAACAGAAACUCAGUGAUGACCAGGACAACUCGUCGCCGCAACUCACCCGAGUUCCAUCACUUUUAGAACGAGUCAAGUCCAUCAACCUCUCUAUAUACCGCUCCGAACAGCCCGACCCGUCUGACUCCACUGCCCCACCUCAAGAACCUACACACCAGCAAAAGUCUGAAUGUGUGGAAGAGAGUCAUGUGACUAGGAACAAGUCCGACACGUGCAGGCAAGCUCCGACGAAAAGGGUGUUGAAGAAAUCGGCUAGUGAGAAGGUGUAUGUGGCUGAGCCGGAGGAAGAGGCGGAUCUACGGCGACCGGCGACAGUAAAGGAAACGACGUCGUCUAAUUGGCCGGAGGAUGAGGCUGUGGAUGCGAAAGCUGAUGAUUUCAUUAACAGGUUUAGGCAGCAGUUGAAAUUGCAGAGAUUGGACUCCAUCUUAAGGUACAAGGAAAUGCUCAGUAGAGGUUUGAGGAAUUGAAGCAUAUUAUUUUGGGACAGAUCUACCCUUCCUUACCAGUAUUUCUUUAAGCAAAGUGUAUGGGUUGUUUAGUCUUUCAAUAAUAAAUGAAUUCUUCUUUUGUGGGUGUUUUCUAAUUUUGUUAUGACUAGUAUAUUGUUACAAUAAUUUUUAUUUAUUACACCACAUUUUAAUAGUAGUUAAUUUCCAUAAUCUGAGUAUGUUGUAAUAAUUAUUUUUUUAAUUUUUUCGUUGAAUUCUUAUUUUUAAAUUUUGAUUAAUUAGCGCAUCUCGCCCUUGAUGAUAAUUUAUAUCAAAAUAUUUUGUUUCUAUGCUUGGAAAUGAGUAGGGCUGGACAAAAUUCUCGAAUCGAAUCGAACCUGACGGUUCUUCUCAAGUUAAAUAUCUGAACGUGUAUUUGAAUAAAGAACCGACAGGUAUGAUUCGAUUCUUGAUUCUAGGUCAAGACCCGAAAAAUCGAAUAAGAACUGAAUUUUCGUAAUUUUUUAAUUAAUUUAUUUUAAAUAAGUACGAUUAUUUUAUUUUUUCUAAAUAAAUUUGUUAACUAGUUAAUUUAGUUCAAACCAUAAAAUAUGAUUUUUCUAUUUUUAAUUUUCAGUUUAAAGUAAACUUAAUCAAAUUGACCUUAAUUUUAUUUAAAUUUGUUAUUCUAUUGUAGUGUCGUUUCUAUCGGAGAAAUCAAAUUAAAACUCUAUAAUAUCUCUCUUAAUUAUUUUGAGCUCGCUAUCUUUCUCUUUCUAAGAUUUUAAUAAUCAAAUUUAUGAAAAAUUUAGCAAAGAGAGACGUGAAACACAUAAGAUUGAAUUGAAUUAUGUUAUUUUGUAAGAACUAAUAUUGAACAUAUUAUUAAUUAAAUUAACGUAAUUUUGUAUAUAUUAAAAAAUUUAAUUAUAAUACGAAAUCGAAUGAAACUGAAAUCAGACCAAACCGAACCGAAUCGAAUGGAAUCGAACUCGAACUUUUCCGUAAUUAAAUUUAGACCCGACGGUUUCACUUACUAAACACUCGAAAAUUUCGGGUCGAUUCGAUUCUCGUUAAAACCGAAUCGGACCAUAUCCAGCCCUAAAAAUGAGAGAAAAUUUAUUAUUAUUAUUUUCUCUCUUUCUUUAUUAUUUUAAAAUAUGAUUAAAAAAUAAAUCGUUAUAAGCAAAUUCAGCAGGCUUUUUGGACAAACUGCUUUUUGGGUAAAAUGUUAUCAAAUAUUAAACGCGUUAACUAAUAGAAAAUUUGGGGAUAAGAAUGUCGUGAAAAAUCGUUAGAGAUACAAAUACUAUAAUAAGUAAAGAUUAAAAACUUUAAGUGUAAAUAAAAAUUAUGGUGUAAAUAUAAUUAGAUUUUGUUAUUUGACCGAUUUUAUUGAUGGAUAAUCGGGCAGAUGGAAAAAUGAGAAGUGAGAUAAAAAUGUUUGAAACAAUUCUUGUUAUCUCGUCAAAAUAAGUGAAAUGCUUAAGUUGAGUUCGCACUUCUCUUAAUGAGUCUGUCCAUUCUCCUUUGUCCAAUCACUAAAGACUGCCACAAUCGUGAUCGUUGGUCCCGCAUUUCCGUUUAGCUUAAAGGAGGAGCCAAUUUUAAAAAUAAAUAAAAAAAAUUAUUUUAAAUUUUAUUUAAUUAUAAGUAAAAUUUAAAGCUUAACCAAAAUUACAAGAAGAUGGCAUCAAGUGGUGAAAUUGAUUCGUGGAGAUAAAUUAUAAUUGCUUUGAGCUCUGGACAGUCGGUUGUUCGUGUUGGAUGAUGCUAGAUUGGCCACGUGGCUCUCUCCGUCCAUGCGAAACACAUUGCCCUGUUCAUUUAGAAUAAUUCGUUCGUGUUCCAUGCUUUUUAAUGUUAUCUAUUUGACAUAUUAAUAGGAAUUUGAGGAAAUUGGUGAUGCUAAAAUACACUUCAACAAUCUCAUAAAUAUACAUUUGGUUUUCUUUUUCGUCUAUCUCAAAUUAUAAGUUUUUUUUUUUUUUUUUUUUAUCGAGAGAAUAUUGUUGAGCUAUUAGUUUUCUAACACGUCUCUAUUUAAUGUAUGUUGUUAUUAACAAAGAUGUAUUAUUCCUAUUUAUACUAUUAUUUAAUGUACGGAUAUAGCAAAAAAAUGAUAAAAAAUUUAAUUCUAUAUUUUCUUAAUGCAUGUGAAGAUUGAAACAAGUCCAUCUUUAUGGGACGACGAGGUAAUAAAUAGUUUACAAAUCAUGGUGUAUACUCUCGUUUGACCCCUUUUAAAACUCUUCAAUUUAAUUUAAUUUUUUUCUCUCCAAUUUUUAACAAUACAAUUUUUAAUAAAAUAAUAUUACAUUCAAAUCAAAAAAUUUUCAACCACAAAAUCUAAAAAAAAAAUGCUAUUCCUCUAUUAUAAAUUCAAAUAAUGGGGGUCAGCCUCUCGAAUAUAGUUCAGUGGUGUAAAUGACAGAAGUGAGAUUAUUUGACGCUUGGCUGGUAGUCGCAGUGUGUGUGUUCGAUUCCUGAAACAUGAAAUUGGACUUCUUAUAGGUGCAGUGUACAUGUAGCUCUUGUUUUUUGAACCGUUGAAGUACAUCUCACAAUUUACCUCCAUUACAAAGCUUUAAAAAAGGCAUGUGGAGGCUCUCCGAGCUGGAGUUCAACCUUUAAAUAAUGGGACCAAACGAGAGUUAUAUGUAUCAGAGUUAACACUGAAAGCUUCUCAAUGUUUCAUCAGUCUCUCCCUCCCUCUCUUGAACACCGCAAAGACAUUCCUUAAACGACGUCACAAAACCACCAUGUGGGCUUCGGUGUCGAGCUGCUUAACACCAACUGUUCUCUUCUGCAUCUUGAACCUCACCAUAGUUACCAUUGUCAUAACUUCAACCCGAAAAAAGCACUAUAAACUCAGUGAUGACCAGGACAACUCGCCGCCGCAACUCACCCGAGUUCCAUCACUUUUAGAACGAGUCAAGUCCAUCAACCUCUCUAAAUACCGCUCCGAACAGCCCGACCCGUUUGACUCCGCUGCCCCACCUUAAGAACCUACACACCAGCAAAACUCUGAAUGUGUGGAAGAGAGUCAUGUGACUAGGAGCAGGUCCGACACGUGCAGGCAAGCUCCGACGAAAAGGGUGUUGAAGAAGUCGGCUAGUGAGAAGGUGUAUCUGGCUGAGCCGGAGGAAGAGGCGGAUCUACGGCGACCGGCGACAGUAAAGGAAACUACGUCGUCUAGUUGGGCGGAGGAUGAGGCUGUGGAUGCGAAAGCUGAUGAUUUCAUUAACAGGUUUAGGCAGCAGUUGAAAUUACAGAGAUUGGACUCCAUUUUAAAGUACAAGGAAAUGCUCAGUAGAGGUGUGAGGAAUUGAAGCAUAUUAUUUUGGGACAGAUCUACCCUUCCUUACCAGUAUUUCUUUAAGCAAAGUGUAUGGGUUGUUUAGUCUUUCAAUAAUAAAUGAAUUCUACUUUUGUGGGUGUUUUCUAAUUUUGUUAUGACUAGUAGAUCUCUACAAUAAUUUUUAUUUAUUACACAUUUUAAUAUUAGUUAAUCUCCAUAA